UACGGAGGGUGCGAGCGUUAAUCGGAAUUACUGGGCGUAAAGCGCGCGUAGGCGGUCAGGCAAGUCGGGUGUGAAAGCCCUGGGCUCAACCUGGGAAUUGCAUUCGAAACUAUCUGACUCGAGUAUGGGAGAGGGAAGCGGAAUUUCCGGUGUAGCGGUGAAAUGCGUAGAUAUCGGAAGGAACACCAGUGGCGAAGGCGGCUUCCUGGACUAAUACUGACGCUGAGGUGCGAAAGCGUAGGGAGCAAACAGG
rnacentral:rRNA from 1 species